rnacentral:rRNA from 1 species
UACGUAGGGGGCGAGCGUUGUCCGGAUUUAUUGGGCGUAAAGAGCUCGUAGGCGGUUCGAUAAGUCGGACGUGAAAUCUCCACGCUCAACGUGGAGGGGCCGUUCGAUACUGUCGUGACUCGAGUCCGGUAGGGGAGUGUGGAAUUCCCGGUGUAGCGGUGAAAUGCGCAGAUAUCAGGAGGAACACCGGUGGCGAAGGCGGGUCCCUGGACAACUCCUGACACUGAGGCACGAAAGCUAGGGGAGCAAACAGG